GGUUACUGGGAAAUAGAUUCUAGACUUGCAGACGUGUUUAAAAGGACAAAAGAAGAGCUGAUUGAUAAGAUUCCUGAACAGGUGAAGCCAGAUGUCUGGGCUACACUUUUGGCUCUGAUUUGGUUACAUGGCUUUAAGAUCGAUUCUCGGAUUGAGUGGCAUUAUUCGUCCAUUAAAGCAGUGGCAUGGCUACGCACUCAGAAAGUGGUUAACCUCUCAGAGUGUGUGCGGGUAGGUAACUUUCUACUCAGCUGUCAGGUUGAAGAAGAUGCUAUUGGGCUCUAAAACCUUCACCUUCUUACAGCAUUCACACAAAAGCCUAGGCUUUAUCUAAUUACAUU